AAAAAAUAUAUGAUACAAAUUCUUCAAUGACCAAAAUAAUAGUAUGUUGUUCUAUCUGACCUUUACUCCAAGUCUUGAUCACCGGUCCGAUUCGAAAUAAAUCCUCAGCAACAAAUUCUGGUGACUCAGGAAAGGAUGUAAUGGAAAUUAUACCCUUGGACAAUGGUUCCAAAAUACCAA